GAUAGAGGAUGCAAGCGUUAUCCAGAAUGAUUGGGCGUAAAGCGUCUGUAGGUGGCUUUCAAGUCCGCCGUCAAAUCCCAGGGCUCAACCCUGGACAGGCGGUGGAAACUACCAAGCUGGAGUACGGUAGGGGCAGGGAAUUUCUGGUGGAGCGGUGAAAUGCAUUGAGAUCGAAAAGAACACCACGGCGAAAGCACUCUGCUGGCCAACACUGACACUGGAGAGACGAAAUCU
rnacentral:rRNA from 1 species